rnacentral:misc_RNA from 1 species
UGGAUCGAUCUCUCCAGGCUU